rnacentral:lncRNA from 1 species
GAGGGAAGGAAAGGAUUCCAAGGAGGGCACUUUCUCCCCAGCAAAGGCCCUGUGUCUUUUCAGGUGAACGAUGUCAAGAUGAUCCUGUGGAAACUAGUGGCCACAGACCAGCUCCAGAGCCAAGAAUUCACCAAAUCAGAGCAGCCCCGACAGAAACCCAACAAGCGAGACUGCUUCUGGAAGUACUGUGUCACCAACUGAGGCUGCCUGUCACAUGGCCAUCCCAACGCAGACAUGCACUUUGUGAGUCCUCCACCAAGGGUCCUCCACAAACUUGGCCUCCUUGGAUGCGUGUGCCCCUUCCUUGCCUGCCUUUGUGCCCCCCAGCCUCUCUGCAGCUGCCAUGGAAGAGCAUGCAUUGCUUUGUAAAUAGCAUUACAAAUAAUGAGGAUGUGUCGGUGGAAAUUGGCUUAGUAUGUUGAGAGAAAGAACAGGGCUUGACUCUGUUCAGAUGAAAUAGUCCAUAUUGAAAUAUAGGCUACAGUCCCAGGGCUGUAUUCCCCUGCCACAGCAUGCACAGAAACCCACUGAAGUCAAGUAUCCUGCAGUGUGAGAAUCAGGCAUCUGGUGCCUUUAAAGUUCCCCCCAUCCUGCAGUGUGAAUUCCACUGAAUAAUGCUGAGCCCUUGGAAAGAGACAUCCCUGUGCUGCACUACAGGAGGAAUCUGAAAGGACUGGAACUGUUCCAGGCCUGUUUCAGCAUUGCAAAUUUCAGACAAACUAGGAUGACAAAAAAGCAUGGCACAUGCUGGGCGUUUGUCAGUUUGUACUUGUGCCUGCCAGGCCCAUUGCAGAGGUCACAAGGCGCGAGUGCUCUAUGCCCCAGAAUCAGCAGACAAUUAAGAAGAAAACUGAAUGAUCAAACUCUCAUGCCGAAAACCACAAGGCAGCUGCGCUGGUUUCCCGCACAUCACAUGAUUGACUUGUAAAGCAGCUAAACCGUUCUUGUGGCUGUGUGGAUUAUAGCAAUGGAAUGGUGUAGCUGCUGAGGGAUAAAGGCCAGACUUGGUCUGGCAACAGAGACAGCUAAGUGAGAAAAAGAAAAACAAAACCCAUCACUGAUCAUUUUCCAGGCCUCCAGGAUAUGCACUUAGCAAUUGUCCAUCUCACCAGGUUUGCCGCUGUUCAUUCCCCCAGCUCUAGCACUUGGUGGCUUACCCCCACUUGGAGCUAUUUUAUUUAGUAAAUCCUGACACGUUUAAAACAUGGUCUUGAUUUCUUGUGUGUUUGGCUCUUUCUCUUUACUCUCUGAGUCCAUCUUGUUUAGUGUCUUUGGCCCCUCUACUUCCCUCCCUUACAUUGCACAGAGGAAACAGAUGGGAGUAAAUGAAGCAUAAAGGGCUCACAGAAAGACAGGAAAUGCUGCUGCGUGGUGCCAUCUGAUGGUUCUGCGUAGAAUGCACAGGCAACAUAGAGGUCCUUG